CUUUUUUUCUUGAUGGUAAUGUUAUAUUCAGGAAUAGCAGUGCCAUAGUUAUUACAGUGUGGAACAUAGUAAAAUCACAAUGCAGUAGUGUUAGAAUGAAUAAGGGACUUGUAGAAAGCACUGAAAUAGUGCUGAGGAGGAAUACAAACUCUUUGCCUUUACAGAUGAAGAAUUGGCCUCUUUUUACAGAUUCUCCAAGGCUCAUUAUACAGCUUUUGAAAAAGAAGUAUGCGAAGAAGCAGAUGAGUCAUUACAUUGCUAUUUGCCAAAGGAAGGAGUCGACAAUUCUUGAGGGAGAACUGCUGCUUGGCCUUCCUGAGACUAGAACCUUGGAGACUGGAGAAGGAGGUAAAACAGGAAAUGGAAAGACUGCAACUUGCUUGUGAAAAACAUAAUGCCAUUGCUCAGUACUUGCUUAGUGGAGAUGAAAAGGUUAAAAAAUGAUUGAAAAAUUAACCAACUGUGUACUUCGUGGCAAUUACAGAUGAUCCCAUUGGAAUUGUUUUUGGAGUCAUUAUGGAAAUCAGGUCAUUCCUGAAUAUGUUUCUGUUUUGUUAUUACAUGUAUGGCACACUAUAAUCAUUAGUUCAAGUUCCUCUAAUGAAUGACUUGCUGAGACAGGAAAAAUGAGGAAGCUGGCUAAUGCUGACAAAGUGAUUUCACAAAACACAAAAAAUAAGCGAGUAGCUCUUGUGCUUCUGCUGGUGAAUCAGAGAUCAGUGAUCUCUAAUGGUUUUCGUUUUAAACAGAAAUCUGCUUGAAAUGAUAGACUGAAAGAAAACUAUGCCAAAGCUAUACAGUCUAUAUUUUAAUGAAGUUGCUUGUAUCAGUACCAUGUUCAACUGAAACUCAUAAUACCCUGUUAUAUAAUGUUAAUGUAAUAUAAUAAAGGUAUGAUAUUUAUUAUAUCUUCCUAUGUUGUUCAAAAGCAUGGGGAAAAUUGCAAUACCACAGUCAUUGCUUCGGUUCCUUACCAUUGAGUAUAAAAACCCUGACCCAGCAGAAGGUUAGCCCUGUUUUAGAGCCUGGAGUUAGAUGACUUCAGCUUGGAUACCUUAGUUAGAUGCUUUCAGUCGAUGCACUUAAGCUAAACCUUCAGUGGAAACCUGGGCACUUUGCUGAAAGCACAAACACUAUCUUAAUGGAACGAGCUUAGUGCCAUCUCAUUAAUCAGUGUUUGCAUGGCUGGCUUUAGU